rnacentral:rRNA from 1 species
CGCGUAGGCGGCCUGUUAAGUCGAACGUGAAAUCCCCGGGCUCAACCCGGGAACUGCGUCCGAUACUGGCAGGCUUGAAUUCGGGAGAGGGAUGCGGAAUUCCAGGUGUAGCGGUGAAAUGCGUAGAUAUCUGGAGGAACACCGGUGGCGAAGGCGGCAUCCUGGACCGACAUUGACGCUGAGGCGCGAAAGCCAGGGGAGCAAACG